rnacentral:rRNA from 1 species
AACGAACGCUGGCGGCAUGCCUAACACAUGCAAGUCGAACGAGACCUUCGGGUCUAGUGGCGCACGGGUGCGUAACGCGUGGGAACCUGCCCUUAGGUUCGGAAUAACUCACCGAAAGGGGUGCUCAUACCGGUUAAUGUCUUCGGGCCAAAGAUUUCUCGCCUUUGGAUGGGCCCGCGUUGGAUUGGCUAGUUGGUAGGGUAAAAGCCUACCAAGGCGACGAUCCAUAGCUGGUGGGAGAGGAGGCUCAGCCACACUGGGACUGCGACACGGCCCAGACCGCGACGGAAGGGAGGGGAAGGUAAUAUUGUACGAGGGGCGAAGGCCUGAUCCAGCAGUGCCGCGUAAGUGAGGAAGGCCUUAGGGUUGUAAAGCUCUUUUACACGAGAUGAUAAUGACAGUACCGGGAGAAGAAGCUCCGGCUAACUCCGUG